rnacentral:ribozyme from 1 species
UAAACGAAGAAUGAACAAAAGGAGAAAAAGAGAAACACAAAGAAAUGAAGCGUGUGUGUUCUUUUGUUUCUUUCAAUUAAACCACGCUUCCAUUACACUUCAUUUCAUUCCAUUGUGUUUAAUUGAAAGGAAACAAGAACACAACAUACGCUUCAUAUUAUUACAGGAUUAGGUGUGAAGUGAAGAGGAACGAAACGAACACUCUUUGUUUAAUUCUUUUGCUUACAUUACAAUGAGAGAAA